rnacentral:rRNA from 1 species
CCUACGGGGGGCUGCAGUGGGGAAUAUUGGGCAAUGGGCGCAAGCCUGACCCAGCAACGCCGCGUGAAGGAAGAAGGCUUUCGGGUUGUAAACUUCUUUUCGCAGGGACGAAGGAAGUGACGGUACCGGAGGAAUAAGCCACGGCUAACUACGUGACAGCAGCCGCGGUAAUACGUAGGUGGCAAGCGUUAUCCGGAUUUACUGGGUGUAAAGGGCGGGUAGGCGGGAAAGCAAGUCAGAUGGGAAAACCCUGGGCUCAACCUGUGGCCUGCAUUUGAAACUGUUUUUCUUGAGUACUGGAGAGGCAGCCGGAAUUCCUAGUGUAGCGGUGAAAUGCGUAGAUAUUAGGAGGAACACCAGUGGCGAAGGCGGUCUGCUGGACAGCAACUGACGCUGAGGCGCGAAAGCGUGGGGAGCAAACAGGAUUAGAUACCCGGGUAGUC